rnacentral:rRNA from 1 species
CGCCUUGCCAGCCCGCUCAGAAACUCAAAGGAAUUGAGGGGGCCCGCACAAGCGGUGGAGUAUGUGGUUAAUUCGAUGCAACGCGAAGAACCUUACCUGGUCUUGACAUCCCGGAGACCCUUAGGAAACUAGGGGGUGCUUCCAUCUGGAAGAAUCUGGAGACAGGUGCUGCAUGGCUGUCGUCAGCUCGUGUCGUGAGAUGUUGGGUUAAGUCCCGCAACGAGCGCAACCCUUGCCUUUAGUUGCCAGCAGUUCGGCUGGGCACUCUAAAGGGACUGCCGGUGUUAAACCGGAGGAAGGUGGGGAUGACGUCAAGUCCUCAUGGCCUUUAUGACCAGGGCUACACACGUACUACAAUGGCCGAUACAAAGGGCAGCGACACUGCGAGGUGAAGCCAAUCCCGUAAAAUCGGUCUCAGUCCGGAUUGGAGUCUGCAACUCGACUCCAUGAAGUUGGAAUCGCUAGUAAUCGUGGAUCAGCAUGCCACGGUGAAUACGUUCCCGGGCCUU